rnacentral:rRNA from 1 species
UGGGGAAUUUUUGGACAAUGGGCGAAAGCCUGAUCCAGCAAUGCCGCGUGUGUGAAGAAGGCCUUCGGGUUGUAAAGCACUUUUUGUCCGGAAAGAAAUCCUUGGCUCUAAUACAGUCGGGGGAUGACGGUACCGGAAGAAUAAGCACCGGCUAACUACGUGCCAGCAGCCGCGGUAAUACGUAGGGUGCAAGCGUUAAUCGGAAUUACUGGGCGUAAAGCGUGCGCAGGCGGUUUGCUAAGACCGAUGUGAAAUCCCCGGGCUCAACCUGGGAACUGCAUUGGUGACUGGCAGGCUAGAGUAUGGCAGAGGGGGGUAGAAUUCCACGUGUAGCAGUGAAAUGCGUAGAGAUGUGGAGGAAUACCGAUGGCGAAGGCAGCCCCCUGGGCCAAUACUGACGCUCAUGCACGAAAGCGUGGGGAGCAAAACAGGAUUAGAUACCCUGGUAGUCCACGCCCUAAACGAUGUCAACUAGUUGUUGGGGAUUCAUUCCUUAGUAACGUAGCUAACGCGUGAAGUUGACCGCCUGGGGAGUACGGUCGCAAGAUUAAAAC